ACCUGCCGUCUACUCUUGGACAGCCUUCUGAAAGGAAGAUUAAUACAAGAUGGCAUCAUGAGUCCGCAUGUUCACAUGAUUAAAGGUAUUCCGGUAGACGAUGGGGAUGCGUUCCAUUAGAUAGUAGGCGGGGUAACGGCCCACCUAGUCUUCGAUGGAUAGGGGUUCUGAGAGGAAGGUCCCCCACAUUGGAACUGAGACACGGUCCAAACUCCUACGGGAGGCAGCAGUGAGGAAUAUUGGUCAAUGGGCGAGAGCCUGAACCAGCCAAGUAGCGUGAAGGAUGACUGCCCUAUGGGUUGUAAACUUCUUUUAUAAAGGAAUAAAGUCGGGUAUGGAUACCCGUUUGCAUGUACUUUAUGAAUAAGGAUCGGCUAACUCCGUGCCAGCAGCCGCGGUAAUACGGAGGAUCCGAGCGUUAUCCGGAUUUAUUGGGUUUAAAGGGAGCGUAGAUGGAUGUUUAAGUCAGUUGUGAAAGUUUGCGGCUCAACCGUAAAAUUGCAGUUGAUACUGGAUAUCUUGAGUGCAGUUGAGGCAGGCGGAAUUCGUGGUGUAGCGGUGAAAUGCUUAGAUAUCACGAAGAACUCCGAUUGCGAAGGCAGCCUGCUAAGCUGCAACUGACAUUGAGGCUCGAAAGUGUGGGUAUCAAACAGGAUUAGAUACCCUGGUAGUCCACACGGUAAACGAUGAAUACUCGCUGUUUGCGAUAUACGGCAAGCGGCCAAGCGAAAGCGUUAAGUAUUCCACCUGGGGAGUAC
rnacentral:rRNA from 1 species